UACGGAGGGUGCAAGCGUUAAUCGGAAUUACUGGGCGUAAAGGGUGCGUAGGCGGUUGUUUAAGUCUGUUGUGAAAUCCCCCGGGCUCAACCUGGGAAUGGCAAUGGAUACUGGACAGCUAGAGUGUGUCAGAGGAUGGUGGAAUUCCCGGUGUAGCGGUGAAAUGCGUAGAGAUCGGGAGGAACAUCAGUGGCGAAGGCGGCCAUCUGGGACAACACUGACGCUGAAGCACGAAAGCGUGGGGAGCAAACAGG
rnacentral:rRNA from 1 species